rnacentral:rRNA from 1 species
GACGAACGCUGGCGGCGUGCCUAAUACAUGCAAGUCGAACGCAGUGGGGACGGGUGAGUAACACGUGGGUAAACUCCCAGCAGAGGGGAUAACCCUUUGAAACAGGUGCUAAACCGAUAGCGAUGGAUGGACCCGCGGUGCAUUAGCUAGGUGGGGAGGUAACGGCUCACCAGGGCCACGAUGCAGAGGCGACCUGAGAGGGUGAUCGGCCACACUGGAACUGAGACACGGCCCCGCCUCCUACGGUACGCAGCGGUGGGGAAGCUUCGGCAAUGGACGAAAGUCUGACCGAGCAACGCCGCGUGAGUGAGGAGGGUUUUCGGAUCGUAAAGCUCUGUUGUUAGAGAAGCGGUAUCUAACCAGAAAGCCACGGCUAACUACGUGCCAGCCGCCGCGGUAAUAC